rfam:Neotoma lepida isolate 417 scaffold_214, whole genome shotgun sequence.
GCAAGAAUGCCUUUGCUAUCUGUCACCCCGUUAACUAGCAGCGUUCAUUUGGCUGGUCUGGCUGGUUCUAGGCAGCUGUCCUCUCCCUACUGCAUGUGUGUCCCUAACACAGCAGGACUGUUCUUCCGCCAAUGACAUUUGAAUAGCUGCUCUUCCCUGCUAGAACCUCAAACAAGCCUUUAAAGAGGUAAAUAGAUAAGGAAAUAUAAGGUGAAGAGACAGACAGUAAGGUAAGUACAGGCCUAUAAAUGUGGNUUUCCU